rnacentral:rRNA from 1 species
AGAGUUUGAUUCUGGCUCAGGAUGAACGCUAGCGGCAGGCCUAAUACAUGCAAGUCGAGGGGCAGCAGGGGUAGCAAUACUCGCUGGCGACCGGCGCACGGGUGCGUAACACGUAUGCAACUUUCCUUCAACUGGAAGAUAGCCCGAAGAAAUUCGGAUUAAUAUUCCAUAGUUAUAUGAAAUGGCAUCAUUUUAUAUUUAAAGCUCAGGCGGUUGAAGAUGGGCAUGCGUUCGAUUAGCUAGUUGGUGAGGUAAUGGCUCACCAAGGCUACGAUCGAUAGGGGAUCUGAGAGGAUUAACCCCCACACUGGUACUGAGACACGGACCAGACUCCUACGGGAGGCAGCAGUAAGGAAUAUUGGACAAUGGAGGCAACUCUGAUCCAGCCAUGCCGCGUGAAGGAUGAAGGUCCUAUGGAUUGUAAACUUCUUUUGAACGGGAGAAAACCUUCGGUCGUGUACCGAAGCUGAUAGUACCGUUAGAAUAAGGGUCGGCUAACUUCGUGCCAGCAGCCGCGGUAAUACGAAGGACCCGAGCGUUAUCCGGAUUUAUUGGGUUUAAAGGGGUGCGUAGGCGGAAUGGUAAGUCAGUGGUGAAAUCUUGUGGCUUAACUGCAAAACUGCCAUUGAUACUGCCAAUCUUGAGUACAUUUGAUGUGGGCGGAAUGUGCCAUGUAGUGGUGAAAUACUUAGAUAUGGCACAGAACACCGAUCGCGAAGGCAGCUCACAAAACUGUUACUGACGCUGAGGCACGAAAGCGUGGGGAUCAAACAGGAUUAGAUACCCUGGUAGUCCACGCCUUAAACUAUGAUUACUCGAUGUGUGCGAUACACAGUACGCGUCUAAGCGAAAGCGUUAAGUAAUCCACCUGGGGAGUACGGUCGCAAGAUUGAAACUCAAAGAAAUUGACGGGGGCCCGCACAAGCGGAGGAGCAUGUGGUUUAAUUCGAUGAUACGCGAGGAACCUUACCUGGGCUUGAAAGUUAGUGAAUGCUGUGGAAACAUGGCAGGCCGCAAGGACACGAAACUAGGUGCUGCAUGGCUGUCGUCAGCUCGUGCCGUGAGGUGUUGGGUUAAGUCCCGCAACGAGCGCAACCCCUAUCUUUAGUUGCCAGCGAGUAAUGUCGGGGACUCUAAAGAAACUGCCCGUGCAAACGGUGAGGAAGGUGGGGAUGACGUCAAGUCAGCACGGCCCUUACGUCCAGGGCUACACACGUGCUACAGUGGCGAGUACAAAGGGCAGCUACAUGGUGACAUGAUGCUAAUCUCUAAAACUCGUCUCAGUUCGGAUUGAAGUCUGCAAUUCGACUUCAUGAAGCUGGAUCACCUCCU